GGGCCUGUAGCUCAGCUGGUAGAGCAUUACACUUUUAAUGUAGUGGUCGAGCGUUCGAAUCGCUCCAGGCUCACCA
rnacentral:tRNA from 1 species